GAGUAACACGUGGGUGAUCUGCCCUGCACUUCGGGAUAAGCCUGGGAAACUGGGUCUAAUACCGGAUAGGACCACGGGAUGCAUGUCUUGUGGUGGAAAGCGCUUUAGCGGUGUGGGAUGAGCCCGCGGCCUAUCAGCUUGUUGGUGGGGUGACGGCCUACCAAGGCGACGACGGGUAGCCGGCCUGAGAGGGUGUCCGGCCACACUGGGACUGAGAUACGGCCCAGACUCCUACGGGAGGCAGCAGUGGGGAAUAUUGCACAAUGGGCGCAAGCCUGAUGCAGCGACGCCGCGUGGGGGAUGACGGCCUUCGGGUUGUAAACCUCUUUCACCAUCGACGAAGGUCCGGGUUCUCUCGGAUUGACGGUAGGUGGAGAAGAAGCACCGGCCAACUACGUGCCAGCAGCCGCGGUAAUACGUAGGGUGCGAGCGUUGUCCGGAAUUACUGGGCGUAAAGAGCUCGUAGGUGGUUUGUCGCGUUGUUCGUGAAAUCUCACGGCUUAACUGUGAGCGUGCGGGCGAUACGGGCAGACUAGAGUACUGCAGGGGAGACUGGAAUUCCUGGUGUAGCGGUGGAAUGCGCAGAUAUCAGGAGGAACACCGGUGGCGAAGGCGGGUCUCUGGGCAGUAACUGACGCUGAGGAGCGAAAGCGUGGGGAGCGAACAGGAUUAGAUACCCUGGUAGUCCACGCCGUAAACGGUGGGUACUAGGUGUGGGUUUCCUUCCUUGGGAUCCGUGCCGUAGCUAACGCAUUAAGUACCCCGCCUGGGGAGUACGGCCGCAAGGCUAAAACUCAAAGGAAUUGACGGGGGCCCGCACAAGCGGCGGAGC
rnacentral:rRNA from 1 species